rnacentral:rRNA from 1 species
AGAGUUUGAUCCUGGCUCAGAACGAACGCUGGCGGCACGCCUAACACAUGCAAGUCGAGCGGGAUCUUCGGAUCUAGCGGCGGACGGGUUAGUAACGCGUGGGAACGUACCCAGAUCUACGGAAUAGCCUCGGGAAACUGAGAGUAAUACCGUAUACGCCCUUCGGGGGAAAGAUUUAUCGGAUUUGGAUCGGCCCGCGUAAGAUUAGAUAGUUGGUGGGGUAAUGGCCUACCAAGUCUACGAUCUUUAGCUGGUUUGAGAGGAUGAUCAGCAACACUGGGACUGAGACACGGCCCAGACUCCUACGGGAGGCAGCAGUGGGGAAUCUUAGACAAUGGGCGCAAGCCUGAUCUAGCGAUGCCGCGUGAGUGAUGAAGGCCUUAGGGUCGUAAAGCUCUUUCGCCUGUGAAGAUAAUGACGGUAGCAGGUAAAGAAACCCCGGCUAACUCCGUGCCAGCAGCCGCGGUAAUACGGAGGGGGUUAGCGUUGUUCGGAAUUACUGGGCGUAAAGCGCACGUAGGCGGACUAGUCAGUCAGAGGUGAAAUCCCAGGGCUCAACCCUGGAACUGCCUUUGAUACUGCUAGUCUUGAGUUCGAGAGAGGUAAGUGGAAUUCCGAGUGUAGAGGUGAAAUUCGUAGAUAUUCGGAGGAACACCAGUGGCGAAGGCGGCUUACUGGCUCGAUACUGACGCUGAGGUGCGAAAGUGUGGGGAGCAAACAGGAUUAGAUACCCUGGUAGUCCACACCGUAAACGAUGAAUGCCAGACGUCGGGUAGCAUGCUAUUCGGUGUCACACCUAACGGAUUAAGCAUUCCGCCUGGGGAGUACGGUCGCAAGAUUAAAACUCAAAGGAAUUGACAGAA